rnacentral:rRNA from 1 species
GAUGAACGCUGGCGGCGUGCUUAACACAUGCAAGUCGAACGGAGAAAGGGUAGCUUGCUAUCUUUUCUUAGUGGCGGACGGGUGAGUAACGCGUGGGUAACCUGCCCUUUGCAGGGGGAUAACAGUGAGAAAUCACUGCUAAUACCGCAUACCAACUUCUUUCGCAUGAAAGAAGUUUGAAAGAUUUAUCGGCAAAGGAUGGACCCGCGUUGGAUUAGCUAGUUGGUGAGAUAACAGCCCACCAAGGCAACGAUCCAUAGCCGGCCUGAGAGGGUGAACGGCCACACUGGGACUGAGACACGGCCCAGACUCCUACGGGAGGCAGCAGUGGGGAAUAUUGCACAAUGGGCGAAAGCCUGAUGCAGCGACGCCGCGUGAAGGAUGAAGGUCUUCGGAUUGUAAACUUCUAUCAGCAGGGAAGAAAGGGCCUAUGGCCUAUGACGGUACCUGACUAAGAAGCCCCGGCUAACUACGUGCCAGCAGCCGCGGUAAACACGAG